GGCGAGUUUGAUCAUGGCUCAGAACGAACGCUGGCGGCAGGCCUAACACAUGCAAGUCGAACGCUCUCGCAAGAGAGAGUGGCGCACGGGUGCGUAACGCGUGGGAAUGUACCUCUAGGUACGGAACAACCCAGGGAAACUUGGGCUAAUACCGUAUAAUAUCUUCGGAUCAAAGAUUUAUCGCCUAGGGAUCAGCCCGCGUAGGAUUAGCUAGUUGGUGAGGUAAUGGCUCACCAAGGCUACGAUCCUUAGCUGGUCUGAGAGGAUGAUCAGCCACACUGGAACUGAGACACGGUCCAGACUCCUACGGGAGGCAGCAGUGAGGAAUAUUGGACAAUGGGGGAAACCCUGAUCCAGCCAUGCCGCGUGAGUGAUGAAGGCCUUCGGGUUGUAAAACUCUUUUAGGUGUGACGAUGAUGACGGUAACACCAGAAAAAGCUCCGGCUA
rnacentral:rRNA from 1 species